rnacentral:rRNA from 1 species
CCUACGGGUGGCAGCAGUGGGGAAUAUUGCGCAAUGGGCGAAAGCCUGACGCAGUGACGCCGCGUGAGGGAUGAAGGUCUUCGGAUCGUAAAACUCUGUCAGCAGGGAAGAACGGUCACUGUGCUAAUCAGCAGUGAAUUGACGGUACCUGCAAAGGCAGCACCGGCUAACUCCGUGCCAGCAGCCGCGGUAAUACGGAGGGUGCGAGCGUUAAUCGGAAUUACUGGGCGUAAAGCGCUCGUAGGUGGUAUGUCAAGUCAAGUGUGUAAUCCCCGGGCUCAACGUGGGAACUGCCUUUGAAACUGGCAAACUGGAGUGUGUGAGAGGAUAGUGGAAUUCCAGGUGUAGGAGUGAAAUCCGUAGAUAUCUGGAGGAACAUCAGUGGCGAAGGCGACUAUCUGGAACAUAACUGACGCUGAGGAGCGAAAGCGUGGGUAGCAAACAGGAUUAGAUACCCCUGUAGUC